GGGUUUUAGGUUUUUGACCUUUGAAAAUGAUUUUCUUCAUUUUUUUAAAAAUUAUUUUAAAAUAGUUUAAUUGAUUUAAUGCUUUAAUGAGCUUUUGUAUUUACUUUGUGUUGACUCUACUUCUAUUUAGCCUUGGUCUUGGUUAAGUUGGACCUUGACUUGGUCAAUACCAUUGGAUUUAGGGGGUUGAUGAAGUUUAAACUUCAUCCCUUAAGAUGAAUGAAUGGUAUUUAUCAAGUAAGGUUCACCCCUUAACCAAUUU
rnacentral:lncRNA from 1 species